UGCCUACUACUCGCUCGCAUACAUAAAUAACGUACUAAAUUGUACGUUGAGUAGUACGUUCUAGCCGAAGCUAAUAUGUACUAAACUAUUCGGAUGCAGCCUUAUAUCAGAGCCCGUCUGGUUCGCUGGUGGAAAGAUAAACGCCUCCGAAAGAUAAACGCACUCCGUUGCUUGGUAACGCUUGCAUCGUAAGUUAAAGCAACUGGCAUUGCGCAUGCACGGCAUAUCUGGGCUCUGUUGAUAACCACCGCACUACUAACGUGUCCAGUUCCCCGAGCGGCAUAAGGUGGCAUCCAGGUGAUAUCAUUUGAAGAUGUCGUCAAAGCGGAAUAUUGGCAACCAGAAGUAUUUGAAGAAAAGGAUUCCUCAAAAUCCACGUUACCAGCAUGUGAAGUCUAGACUGGAUACAGGCUCCAGUCUGACCAAGGAAAUGGAGAGACUUGAAGAAAUUAAGAAAAAUUACAGAUAUAGAAAGGAUGAACUUUUCAAGAGGCUCAAAGUGACGACUUUUGCUCAGCUGGUUCUUCAAGUUGCUUCAGUCACAGAUCUGAGUGAGACUUCCAAUGGAAAAGAAAAACAAGAUGAUUCCUGUGGACAACCAGAAACAGAUGUAAUCCAUUUUACAAAGACAUCAAGUAGGAUACAGCAGCCCUCACCAGAGCAGUUCAGUAAUGAUGACUGUGGAGAUUCUGUUUCUCCUAGAUCCACGCUUCAGAGUGUGAUUAGUGGUGUUGGAGAACUGGACCUUUAUAGAACUGAUCCAGACACUGUUGAUUUGAUGCCUGGGUCCAGUCCAGAUGUUGAAGAGAAGCCUUACCCUGAUUGUCCAUACCUAUUGUUAGAUGUACGUGAACGAGACUUAUAUGACCAGUGUCAUAUCAUCAGUGCAUUAAGUUAUCCCAUUGCAACCCUUUCACGGACAAUAAACCCUUUCACCAUGGAAGUGCUCAAUUAUAAAAAUGUGAUUGGAAAGAUCAUCAUUGUCUAUGAUGAAGAUGAACGACUCGCAAGUCAGGCAGCCUCUACAAUGUGUGAACGGGGUUUUGAGAACCUCUUCAUGCUCUCUGGAGGCUUGAAAGUUCUUACACAGAAGUUUCCUAAUGGAAUGACAACAGGCUUAGUUCCUGUAUUGUGUCUGUCUGUGGGCAUAGGACAUGCACGCUCCAAUUUCCAUCAAGGCUCUGAAACUGAGAAGAAAUGGAGAUUCACUGCUGAAGACCUGCAGAACAUUCAGAAUUAUUUGGAGCACUGUCUUAUCUCACCCAAUCCCAACAGCCGGCUCAACAGAAUGUCUACAGGGAAUGCACAAUUGAAAUCGUUUCGUGCAGAAGGUCAGCUGUCCAUUUCACCGACCGGGACUGAGCCGGGAAGAACAGAAAGCACCAGACCUUGGAAGUAACCAGAACCAUCUCAUCUUCCCAUGUGUGAUGGAAACACAUAUCCACGGUACCACAGGUGUUGGCUUUUGUGUGCUCCAUGAUGGCCAUUAGAGCUAGCCACGUCUCCUGGGCCGUUGGGAUGAUCUGCUUGGCCGGCAAAAUGAAACCGUAGCGACCUGUGUCCCUCAGCUCAAAUGUGUAGGAGUACUUGAUGCCUUGGUUAUACGUCCAGUCAAUGGUGCCACCACUGGCCUGGUCUGUUGGACAUUAGAUUCAAUGCAAAUAAUCAGACAAGAUUUAUAUCACAUUUUGCUCUCUUCACAAGCUGUGACAAAUGGAGGUGUUAUAACACAAUGACUUCACAAAUGUUCAGAAAAGGACUUUUUACACUAUACACAUGUGGUAGGUCUUAUCUACAAAAUUAUAUUUAGCAUGAUUCACAUGAAAAAGCCCGUUAUGAUGGUUACUUACAGAUGGUAUCGAUAAUACUGCCAUAUCGGUAGCGUGUACCAUAGAGAGAAGCCAGGUCAGUUAUGGCCUUAAAUGCUAGGCUCUUCUGUAAUGGUAAAAUGUUAAAGUGAUUAAUUGAAUUCAAUUUUAUAUGCAGAAGUAGAACUUAGUUGUUUCUGUUUAGAAAUAAUGCUUAUAGACUUAAAAUCCUAAAGGCCGGCUACAUAAUAAACCUUUUAUUCAAGUAUAUUCUCACUCCUUUAAAAAACACCCCAAACCUACCAGUUCCUCAUGGUCUUUCACAGGUGUUGUGGUAUACCCAUAAGGGUAUAAGAGCAUUUGAGAAUAGCUGUGUAUGGAUACAAAGGCUUUGAGGUUUCCAUGAGCCAGAACAAAGUCCACAAUUGAUUUCACUUCAGACUCAGAAUGAGCACUUG